UCCAAAUUGAGUAAUUCAAAGUUCCACAGAUAGUUAUUGAAAAGAUCUACAACUUGGCGUUGGUCUCAUCCUCAAAUUCGUUACGGAUUUUGCACGGGGGUACUUAGCUUGUGCCAUGGUGAUACCGAGAGAGGCAAUUGCUAAGUUGUGAUAUUCUCAUACCUUUACUAGUUGCGAACAAUUCGGAGAAGAAAAAAAAGUGGUUCGGACGAGGAUUUUUUUUAAUAAUUGUUGGAAUUCUUAUCUGAUGAAGUUGAAGAAGUCCAGGGACAAA